rnacentral:rRNA from 1 species
UGAGCAAUCUGCCCUUCUCAUCGGAAUAAGCGUUGGAAACGACGUCUAAUGCCGAAUACGACCUCCUUUCGCAUGAUCGGAGGUGGAAAGCUCCGGCGGAGAAGGAUGAGCUCGCGGCCUAUCAGCUAGUUGGUGUGGGUAAUGGCCCACCAAGGCGACGACGGGUAGCCGGCCUGUGAGGGUGACCGGCCACACGUGGGACUGAGACACGGCCCAGACCUCCGUACGGGAGCAG